rnacentral:rRNA from 1 species
UAUGUGAUCGUCUCUCGCAUAUCAAUAAGCGGAGGAAAAGAAACUAACAAGGAUUCCCCUAGUAACGGCGAGUGAAGCGGGAAGAGCUCAAAUUUGAAAUCUUAAAGGGUUUCCCUUUACGAAUUGUAGUUUAAAGAAGUGUUUUCUGUUGAGGUUUUGGUAAAAGUUCUUUGGAAUAGGACAUCAUAGAGGGUGAGAAUCCCGUAUUUGACCUUUACUUUCAACUUUGUGAUACACUUUCAAAGAGUCGGAUUGUUUGGGAAUGCAGUCCAAAAUGGGUGGUAAAUUUCAUCUAAAGCUAAAUAUUGGCGAGAGACCGAUAGCGAACAAGUACCGUGAGGGAAAGAUGAAAAGAACUUUGAAAAGAGAGUUAAACAGUACGUGAAAUUGUCAAAAGGGAAGCGUUUGACACCAGUGUUGUUUUUCUGAAAAUCAAUUAAAGAACUGUUUAUGCUAAGUUGUUUAGACUUUAUCAGCUAACUGUUUAGUUUUGAGCUUUUCUUUAAUGCACUUUUCAGUUAACAAGUCAACAUCAAUUUCUUUUGCUGUAAAAAAGCUUGAGGAAGGUGGCUUGAGAUUCGUCUUAAGUGUUUAUAGCCUCUUGCCUAUGCAGUCGGAGAGAUUGAGGUCUGCAGCGUAGAUCCUUCGGGGCUAAAUGCAUUUGUGCUAAGUUAUAACAUUUUAUAGACAACUUGUUGACUAUGAUUUGUCUUGUAGCUUACUCGCUUAUGUUAUUUUACCUACGCUUAGGAUGUUGAGUCGUAGAGCACGCAG